rnacentral:rRNA from 1 species
CAGCCGCCGCGGGAAUACGAGGGGGGCAAGCGUUGUUCGGAAUUAUUGGGCGUAAAGGGUGCGUAGGCGGUUUGGCAAGUUUGGUGUGAAAUCUUCGGGCUCAACUCGAAGUCUGCAUCGAAAACUGCCGGGCUUGAGUAUGGGAGAGGUGAGUGGAAUUUCCGGUGUAGCGGUGAAAUGCGUAGAUAUCGGAAGGAACACCUGUGGCGAAAGCGGCUCACUGGACCAUAACUGACGCUGAUGCACGAAAGCUAGGGGAGCAAACAGGAUUAGAUACCCCAGUAGUCCCUGUCUCUUAUAA